CAGAUCUGGGGAGGAGAGGAGGGUGAACGGGUGAAUGUCUCAGAGAGGAGGUGUGGUGAACGUGUGAAGGUCCAGAGGAGGAGGUGAGGUGAACGUGUGAAGGUCUCAGCGAGGAGGUGUGGUGAACGUGUGAAGGUCCAGAGGAGGUGAGGUGAACAGGUGAAGGUCCAGAGAGGAGGUGCGGUGAACGUGUGAAGGUCCAGAAAGGAGGUGUGGUGAACAGGUGAAGGUCCAGAGAGGAGGUGCGGUGAACGUGUGAAGGACCAGAGAGGAGGAGUGGUGAACGGGUGAAUGUCUCAGAGAGGAGGUGUGGUGAACGUGUGAAGGUCCAGAGAGGAGGAGUGGUGAACGGGUGAAUGUCUCAGAGAGGAGGUGUGGUGAACGUGUGAAGGUCCAGAGGAGGUGAGGUGAACGUGUGAAGGACCAGAGAGGAGGUGUGGUGAACGUGUGAAGGUCUCAGAGAGGAGGUGUGGUGAACGUGUGAAGGUCCAGAGAGGAGGAGUGGUGAACGGGUGAAUGUCUCAGAGAGGAGGUGUGGUGAACGUGUGAAGGACCAGAGAGGAGGUGUGGUGAACGUGUGAAGGCCCAUGUGUAUCUCCGAGCGGAGGUGAAGACCUCCCUCCCACUGACCUCGUCCAGCAGCGCCAGGUGCACCGGCGUGUGGUCCGUCUGCAGCUGGAAGUAGCGAGGCUCCGACACCGUCCAGUCCACCCACUUCAGCACCCCCAUGGCCACCACAGGGAACCUGAGGAGACACCCUGCUGGUCAAGAGGCUCCGGUCACACGGCCCCACGCUGGGGGUCAGGGACACCACAGUUAUAUAUACUGUGUGGACUCGUCCAUGAAACACAUUCUGUAUUCUGUCUGCAUAUUGAUGCUUAUAGGAACCGGUCAAGAGACCAUACUGGAGGUUAGGGCUGCUCGAUUAUGGGAAAGAUGAUAGUCACGAUUAUUUUGGUCAAUAUUGAAAUCACGAUUAUUGAAACGAUUAUUUUUGAGUUUGAAAACAU